ACACGACUACAUUAGAUACCCCCGUAGUCCCAGCCCUAAACGAUGCGCGUUAGGUGUAUCGGUGACCACGAGUCACCGAGGUGCCGAAGGGAAACCGUGAAACGUGCCGCCUGGGAAGUACGGUCGCAAGGCUGAAACUUAAAGGAAUUGGCGGGGAGCACAACAACGGGUGGAGCUUGCGGUUUAAUUGGAUUCAACGCCGGAAAUCUUACCGGGACCGACAGCAACAUGAAGGCCAAGCUGAAGACUUUGCCGGAUUAGCUG
rnacentral:rRNA from 1 species